UACGAAGGGGGCUAGCGUUGCUCGGAAUCACUGGGCGUAAAGGGUGCGUAGGCGGGUCUUUAAGUCAGGGGUGAAAUCCUGGAGCUCAACUCCAGAACUGCCUUUGAUACUGAGGAUCUUGAGUACGGGAGAGGUGAGUGGAACUGCGAGUGUAGAGGUGAAAUUCGUAGAUAUUAGGAAGAACACCAGUGGCGAAGGCGGCUCACUGGCCCGGUACUGACGCUGAGGUGCGAAAGCGUGGGGAGCAAACCGG
rnacentral:rRNA from 1 species